rnacentral:rRNA from 1 species
UACGUAGGGGGCAAGCGUUAUCCGGAUUUACUGGGUGUAAAGGGAGCGUAGACGGAGAAGCAAGUCUGAAGUGAAAGCCCGUGGCUUAACCACGGGACUGCUUUGGAAACUGUUUGACUAGAGUGCUGGAGAGGUAAGUGGAAUUCCUAGUGUAGCGGUGAAAUGCGUAGAUAUUAGGAGGAACACCAGUGGCGAAGGCGGCUUACUGGACAGUAACUGACGUUGAGGCUCGAAAGCGUGGGGAGCAAACAGG